rnacentral:rRNA from 1 species
GAGUAAUGUCUGGGAAACUGCCUGAUGGAGGGGGAUAACUACUGGAAACGGUAGCUAAUACCGCAUAACGUCGCAAGACCAAAGAGGGGGACCUUCGGGCCUCUUGCCAUCAGAUGUGCCCAGAUGGGAUUAGCUUGUUGGUGGGGUAACGGCUCACCAAGGCGACGAUCCCUAGCUGGUCUGAGAGGAUGACCAGCCACACUGGAACUGAGACACGGUCCAGACUCCUACGGGAGGCAGCAGUGGGGAAUAUUGCACAAUGGGCGCAAGCCUGAUGCAGCCAUGCCGCGUGUAUGAAGAAGGCCUUCGGGUUGUAAAGUA